rnacentral:lncRNA from 1 species
UCCAAGUGUAUGUAUUAGAAUCCAACAAAUUAAUUUGAUCAGAUGGUUUGAUCAAUUCUAAAUAUAGGUUUAGAAUUUGAUCAAGUUUGAACAUGAUUGUGAUUUGACUCUAGUUUUAUAUGCUAGAGAAUCGAAUAUUUUGGGAAUUGGGAUGUUCGUGAAAAUUGAACUUGAGUUUAGUUUAACGACGUUUCGGUCGAUAUCGAAUUUAGGUUUAGUUUAACGACGUUUCGGUCGAUAUCGAAUUUAGGUUUAGUUUAACGACAUUUCGGUCGAUAUCGAAUUUAGGUUUAGUUUAACGACGUUUCGAUCGAUAUCGAAUUUAGGUUUAGUUUAACGACGUUUCGGUUGAUAUCGAAUUUAGGUUUAGUUUAACGACGUUUCGGUCGAAUGUUUGGUUCACAAGGUUUAUGGUAUUGGGUAUAUGGGAUUAUGGUUCAUGAACUUGGUGUAUGGUUUGUGGUUUAUGAUUCAUGGCUCAUGAACUUGAUUCAUAGUUCAUGGAUUUGGUGUAUGA